rnacentral:rRNA from 1 species
GCCGUGAAGUUGGGGAUAACUUGCUGAAAGGCGAGCUAAUACCGAAUGUGGUCUAACAAGGCUAAAGUUGGGGACCGUAAGGCCUGACGCUUCAUGAUAAGCCCGCGGCCUAUCAGCUAGUUGGUGAGGUAAUGGCUCACCAAGGCUAAGACGGGUAGCUGGUCUGAGAGGACGACCAGCCUCACUGGAACUGAGACACGGUCCAGACACCUACGGGUGGCAGCAGUCGAGAAUUUUUCUCAAUGGGGGAAACCCUGAAGGAGCGACGCCGCGUGGGGGAUGAAUGGCUUCGGCCCGUAAACCCCUGUCAUUUGCGAACAAACCUUUCGUGUUAACAGCACGGGAGCUGAUUGUAGCAGAAGAGGAAGGGACGGCUAACUCUGUGCCAGCAGCCGCGGUAAUACAGAGGUCCCAAGCGUUGUUCGGAUUCACUGGGCGUAAAGGGUGCGUAGGUGGUGAGGUAAGUUUGACGUGAAAGCUCCGAGCUUAACUCGGAAAUUGCGUUGAAUACUAUCUUGCUAGAGGGUUGUAGGGGGGACUGGAAUUCUCGGUGUAGCAGUGAAAUGCGUAGAUAUCGAGAGGAACACCAGUGGCGAAGGCGAGUCCCUGGACAACUCCUGACACUGGGGCACGAAAGCUAGGGGAGCAAACAGGAUUAGAUACCCUGGUAGUCC